GUAUGUUGCUCCUGUGGCCUGGAUCCUGGCAGGAGAGGCAUGUGAGCAGACCUGAACUGGACCCACAGGCUGGAGCAGAGAUGCUCAGCCAACUUGCAAACCUGUGAGCAGGAAACUAAAGCUUAUGGUUGUAGGCUGCUGCUGCUUUGGGGUUGUUUGUUACACAGCACUCUUGUGUCCUAGCUGAACCGUAUAGCUUACUGCCAUGAUGGAGAGAUGCCCACAUACCCUGAGCCACCCCACUCUCCCACGCUCCAUGAAGACUUGCUUCUGGCCCUCCUUAAAAGCCUUUCUUCUUGAUCCCUCCAGAGGCCAGGCCAGGGGCAGACCCUUCCACAGAGUGUCUCUUACUGUCCCCAGUCCUUGGGCAUUCAGAAGAAGCAGAGGCUACUGGCUCCUCAGUUCAGUUCUUGUCCACAGUUUUCCUGGUCAUCCUGUUUUCCCCACCACCUGGAGAGUGGUGCUUUUGAAGGCAGGAGCCACGCUAAUUCCCUCUUUCCUCUAGCCACUGCUCCUGUGUCCCCCACACAGUUGACAGUCAGACAGUGUUUGCUAAACUGGAUUGAUUUGCAUGUCUGUCCCUGUUAAUGGGAGGUCCGUAGGGCACAUCGAGUGCUGGCAGGCAUCCCUGAGAGUGCCGGCCGUGCUUGGUGCUCAGAUGAUGGGUCUGCCACUGCCUGUGAGGACGAGGGGCUGCGCCGCCUCCUGCGCUCUCGGCUGGAGGCCUAGGCUCAGCACGGGGCCAUCCGUCUCCCUCCCCGAGCCCUUGGUGUCCGAAGCCUGGGUCAGGAGGGAAAGCGGCAACCUCACAUCUUGGCCCGCACAUGCCUUGGGGAAGCCAGUGGACUUCGUCAGCAAUGGCCCCGGCUGCCAGCAUAAUCCGACUGUGGUCCUCAGAGCACCGUCUGCAGCUCGGGUCCUGUCCUGCACUGGAGGGAGAUCGUUUGCAUCAUGAUGCUUGGGGAUGCUCAGUGUUGGUGUCUGUGAGCCAGGUUUCUGUGGGUCAAGAAUUCAGUGUGGCUUGGCCAGCUGGUUCUGGCUCAGGUCUCUCACGAGGUCGUCGUCCUCUGAAGCCUCCGCAGUGGCUCACCCGCAGCACUGGCUGGUGCUGGAGCUGCAGGAGGUCUCGGUUCUAGCCCCCCAGUCUGCUGCCGUGUCCUCCCGACCUCAGAUCAAGCGACACAAGGGAACGAGAGAGAGCCAGGCAGACGCUACCCUAUUUAUGACCAGGCCUUGGCCAUCGUACAGCGUGUGGUACCUCUACCACAUUCUGUCCCUUAGAAAGCAGAGAGGCCCCAGGCCCAGAUGGAGCCUUGGGCAGCAAAGGACAGCCCACUGACACGGACCAGCUGAGGCAGGAAAGGGACAAGACACUCGAGAGAGAGUCUCCACAGCAAGUACUGGGUUGAGGGACCCAGCAAGGCCGUGCCGGGCCAAGAUGCUGGACGAGUGAAUUGCCUGUGAGGAGCCACGCCUGGCAAAGACGGAAAAGGAAAAGGCUGUUAUCGACGGAGCAGGAGGGGUCCAGGCUGGAGGCUGGAGGGAAGUCACCACGGGCCCGGACGGUCAAGAUGGCUUCCUCCUUCCAUCUGGCCUUCUCUGCUCCACCUCUCCAAGGUGGGACAUGCUGUGUCAGCCCUGUGUGCUCCCAGGCCCCGCACCAGCAGCCCAGUCCCUGCUCCAGACUCACGGGAGGAUCUGAUUGGCUCGGCCCCUCCCUGGCGUGUGAUCUCCAGUGUGCAGUCAGCUGGGACCAGGGGGCACGUCCCUGCAUCCUGGGCUUUCCCAGGUCCCAUCUCUGCUUUGGCACUGUUCCCAGACAACGUGUGGAGCAGACACCCUAGGAGGGGGCUGCUGCCGGUGCUUGUGGUUGAUGGAACUCUCGAAUGCGGUGUUUCCCCAGCUGAGCCAGGCAGCUUCCCCUUCUGCAUUCUCCACGCCUGCGCACUGACUGCGCCCGUGGAGGAGGGCCCUGCUCCCUGGAUCUCCCCCUGCCAGGGCUGCAGGAGACUCCCCGGAGGUGUGUGGUCGGGGUGGGCUGUGGGAACCCUGAGGCACCCGGCUGAGCUGCGGGCGUCAAGCCUCUGUCUUCCCGGGUUUGCUUCUCCCUCUUUUCCAGUCUAGUUGGAACAUUAGCUGAGUGUCUGCUGUGUGCAACAAGCUCAGGAAAGAGGAUCGGGUGGGACAGAUCAGUGGAGGGGGCAGGUCCCAGCGACGCAGGCAGGGCCGGGCCCACCGCCUCAGUCCCUCCUCCUGGCCUGUGAGGUAGCCCCCCAGGCUGCUUUGCCCCAUACUCCGGGGUGUGGGAAGUUUCCGCGUCAUGGCCCCCCGCAGGACGGCUUCCCUCCCCCUCUCCCUUGCCCCCCAGGGCUUUGUAAGAGUCGCGUGGGACAGUGUGCAUGAAAGCUCUAAUUAAGAGUAAAGGAUUACAUGAGUGUAUUUUUCAGUCAAAACCAUAAAAGAAACCUUCCCUAAGGUUGGCCCAAGUGCUCCUGCUGAUGUGGGAGGAAGCUGGGUCUGGGGGCUGCAUCCUCCUCCCUGGCACGGAGUGUGUGCGAGCUUUUGGGGUGCUGAGGAAGGUGGGCCUUGAGGACCGGGCUGAGAGAGCUGGCUUUGAUCCUGUUGGCAGUGCUGUGUUGACAACAGUCUUCUGGGAGGGGACCAGCCCACGCAGAGCUGGGGUCCCACGUCCUUUCUCGGGGCUCUGAGUCAGUUCUCAGGACACCGUGUGGCGGCUCCCAGUGGGCGUGCCGGUUGUGCAUCCGAGUGUGCCACGGGGCAUAUGCUGCUCUCACGGCCCCUCUCCCCUCCACGGGCCGCAGUCCUGGACACGCUGGGAGAGCUUCUCCUGGCAGCAGGGCGGGGGGCUG
rnacentral:lncRNA from 1 species